CUCCAAACCAACAUUUUCUUCUUUAUAAUCAAUUUUUUCUUCAAUAAUUUUUUUCUUUCCUUUAUCACUUCGUUUCUUUCCCAUAAAUCUAACACACAUUUCCUUUUUAUCAAUAAUUUUCCUUUGUUUGACCUUGCAUGUGACGAAAACACACUUUUGGGAGGAGAUUCUACAAAAUCAGUAUCAGUACACACCAUUUUUUCAUAAAAACAAUCUUUUUCACUACUACUAAGUAAUCAAAAAUAAGCUUCAAUCAUCUAUGUAAAGAACCACAACAUUGGAAUGCGUGAAAAACUAACAAUUGAUGAACUUUUGGAUUGUAUUAUAAAAACUAAAAACUAGUUCAUCAAGAUCAUAUUUUUCAUGUGUUAUAUAUGAUUACAACACAAAUAUGAAGUAAUUAAGCCAGAAAAUGAAUAAGAUGGAGAAGAAGUUGAAGAAAAUG
rnacentral:lncRNA from 1 species